ACAAACUUGGUCAUUUAGAGGAAGUAAAAGUCGUAACAAGGUUUCCGUAGGUGAACCUGCGGAAGGAUCAUUAAUGGAAUAAACCUGGUGGACUGUCGCUGGCUCUCUUGAGAGCAUGUGCACGUCUGCCAUCUUUAUCUUUCCACCUGUGCACCUUUUGUAGACCUGGAUGCUUAAUAUAUCAAUCUGAGGUCAACUCAGGCGUGAGGACUGUCGGCGUCGCAAGAUAUCGGCUUUCCUUGUAGCAUUCCAGGGACUAUGUUUUUCAUACACACUUUAAAAAUCUAAUAGAAUGUCGUUUUAAAAAGGUCUUUGUACCUAUAUAAAACAAAUAUACAACUUUCAGCAACGGAUCUCUUGGCUCUCGCAUCGAUGAAGAACGCAGC
rnacentral:misc_RNA from 1 species